UAAGGACGGCGAGGGGACGUUACCAACGGUCACAGUCGGAAGCCUAAUCGCCCAUUCCACGUGGUCGAUGGGCCCAAACUCCAAAGCCAUUCGCUCUUCCGUCUACCCGGCUCUUGGUUUCUUUUUGAACUUUGAUACUGGAGAAACUCCACGAUACAACACAUGUAAAGUAUCAGCUGUCAUUACUUCAGAUAAGAGCCUUCCAUCUUUAAUCAAGAAAAAACCAGCAGCUCAGCAAGCCACCGGAAUAGCCACCACACAAGGUAAUUGGUAGCUCAAUAUCCACUCAAAAAAGUGCCCGAUGGAACAAGCAUUUUGGGCAACGAAGCCUUUCUUUCAUUCUCCACGCGCCAUCAGCUGAUACUAGUACCCAUGACUCGGGACGAGCACGACGAGCAUCAUAUUAUUAAUCCGCACGUUUGUUUAGUAUGGAAAAAAUAAUUUUAACUGAUCUAUUAGAUAUUCAAUCCAAUC